rnacentral:rRNA from 1 species
CCUACGGGAGGCAGCAGUAAGGAAUAUUGGUCAAUGGAGGCAACUCUGAACCAGCCAUGCCGCGUGCAGGAAGACGGCCCUAUGGGUUGUAAACUGCUUUUGAACUAGAGAAAACCUUGGUACGUGUACCGAGUUGAUAGUAUAGUUAGAAUAAGCAUCGGCUAACUUCGUGCCAGCAGCCGCGGUAAGACGAAGGAUGCAAGCGUUAUCCGGAUUCAUUGGGUUUAAAGGGUGCGUAGGCGGACUGAUAAGUCAGUGGUGAAAUCUCUCAGCUUAACUGAGAAACUGCCAUUGAUACUGUUAGUCUAGAGUACAGAUGAUGUGGGCGGAAUAUGACAUGUAGUGGUGAAAUACUUAGAUAUGUCAUAGAACACCGAUUGCGAAGGCAGCUCACAAAACUGUAACUGACGCUGAGGCACGAAAGUGCGGGGAUCAAACAGGAUUAGAUACCCUGGUAGUCCGCACCGUAAACGAUGAUUACUCGUUGUUGGCGAUAUGACAGUCAGCGACCAAGCGAAAGCGAUAAGUAAAUCCACCUGGGGAGUACGCCGGCAACGGUGAAACGUCAAAAUGAAUUGACGGCUUGGAGGACGNGCGACGGACGACACGAGGGGAGGAGG